AGAAUGAAGAUGGCUUCCUGUCCCGCUAGCGUCACGUCGGGAUCUGCCUUCACCAAGGCCUUCACUCGCGCCAGAGGCAACCUCGAGAGACGAGCCCCAGGCACACUCGUUGGGGCCUGGGGCUGCGAGGCCGCUGCCUCCCCAGCAGGUCCCAGGCCUAAAGAGCAACCAUACUGUGGGACAUUCUCUUCUCAUGGCAGACAGCAGAAGAUCAAGAGGGACGAACCAAAAUAUGCCUUGUCUCAUAACCUUGUGCUUAGAACUGGCACUUUGUCGCUUCCACCCAUGUUCCACGGAUCAAAGCAACAAUUAAGGCCAAGCCCCACAUCAGUGGAGCAGGGGUGCACGUGUCCCUUCAGGGAGAAUGGGCAAGUCACACCAUGGGCAGGGCUGUGUCACCCUAUUACAGGGGGAAACUAGGAGUUGGGAACAACAGUUCUUUCUACCACAGAUUUAGAGUGUACUCUUUUGAGGAACUUGAUGGUAAAAGUAAACAGAGCAGUAACUAAAGGAAGAUAAGAAGCCAACUAUGGCUUCCAUUUUGUUUUAUUUUUCAGGUAGGAGACAUUUGAGUAAGUUUAUAUAUUACUGGGGAAGGAGACAGAAAGGAGCAAUAAAAAUACAGAAAUGAAAAGAAAGAAGUGAUGAACAUCACUUCGACAAUUCUUCACUUUCAAAACGCAAACUGUAUCACCCGGGGUCCAAUUAAGACACAGAAACCACACUAUAAUUUGGUUGGGGAAAGUUUAAUAUAAAAAAAGUUGGCUGCUAAGCAGUAACAAAAGAGAAUUGGCUGCUAAUGGGGUAACAAGAAGUCUAAAGAAUAGAGGACUGACAUGUACAGAAAGCGGCCACUAUCCCCAGGGCUGAGGCAGAGCACACAAGGAUGGAAUGACUAUGGAAGAGCAGCCCCCACUACCUGAGCUGAGAUCCAGACCUUGAUGGGAAGUACACAGCCAUGACUUACUGGGUGGUGCAGUCACCGAGGGGCAUCCUGGCAGGACUCACUGGCAAUUCACCUUCUGGGGUACUGAGAGAAGAUGCCUAUGGAAACACAUGCUGCUGGUCACCGGUCACUGUGCACUACAAAAGUCUGCCUAGAAAAAAAAAAAAAAACAUUAAACUAGGAAAUACUGUUCAUCCUCCAGUGUCCCCUACUGAUGAAGCAUAUAACAUCAUACUAGCUAAGCAAGGGGAAAGGUUCCAAUAUCACAAGCAAGCAAUGAAGGCCAUUAUAACUACAUUCUUAGAAUGUGAUCCCUUUCAACAUUUCCUGCACCUCUGCUUCUGCACACUACCACCAAAAGACAAGAAAGGCAAGGAGACGUGACUGGAGCAAGAAAAACAGUGUUUUUCACACAAGGAUGUCCACUCCUUGUUGGGAAUGGCUUAAGAUCGACCUGGGAAAGCAAAACAUCGCCAUAUCAUUUGGAGGAAAGGCACUGGUUGGAAGAGCCUGUUGGCGUGGCAAAGCCAAGGUCUUUAAAGUCCUCAGAGAAGGCAGGCAUAGCCACCACUGGAGGACUUCCUGAUAUGUGGUACAGAGACUGAUGAGGGCAUGGGGUGACAACCUUAGGUGCCAACAGCAAGGGGAUGGAUAUACAGGGUAAAGGAGGCUUGCUGCCAUCCUACGCCUUUGAACGCCACAAAUCAGAGAUGGUACCAUGGAGGAACAUGAACAGGUGAGAGCUGAGGCAUGGGUGCCCACACACAGCCCAAGCCCAGGUGCUAACAGUUGACCAUCAGUAGCCCAGUGCCCCGAAUUCAUCCUGCGCCUGAUUAUCACCCAAAAGCAGUGCAUCGGCACCAUUCUGGUGACUCAAUAUCACACAAUGGCACCAGCCAGCAGGAACAAUCCAAUUGCCAGGCUGCCCUCCUGCACAGAGCCCAAGCCACAGAGCCCUCAGAUAACUCCAUUGAUGCAAAUCUCAGAGUUCCUCAAGGAAACAGGUCAACCCUGCACAUGGAGUGGAGAUUCAGAAAGGCCCCAAAAAGGAAAAAAACAAGGAUCAGUGUCCAUGUAUGUCCCUGUAUGGGGCUGCCAUUUGUCCUAACCACCCUGGGGUCUGCCAUAGCUGAGCCAGCCCUACUGGAAGAGGAUAGUCAAAUAACCUCACUCGUAUUCUUUUGCCACUUACUGUGUUGCCCUAGCUUCCCUCCAGGGGAUCCUCAUUUUGUCCUAGGCUCAACCUUACCUUUGAUCACUUUAGGACUCAGGCACAAGAUUUCACAUUGCUGGGAAUCCAUUUUCAGUCUUUGAAAAGACACAGUGAUUCUUCAGGAAGUUUGUUAUCCCAAAGAUGCAACAGAGACAGAAUUUCCCAGCUUGAAGGGAUUUGAAACAUCCAUAAAGUUACAGAAAUUCAUAUCUGGAGGAGUCUUAACGGUCAUUCAGACCAACGCUUUCUCGGGUAUCUAUAACAUCCAAUGCCCUAGUUUCCCUGCUGUCUUUUUUGGCCACUCCUUUUCAAUCUCCUUUGCAGGCUACCCUUUACAGGGCUCAGUCUCCACACUCUUUUGUUCUAGAUUUUCCCCUGGUGACCUCACCGAGGCCUACAGCUUUAAAUACCAUCCAUAUGCUGAUAAUUCCCAAAUUUAUAUUUCCAGUCCCAAGCUCUCCACUGAGUUUCAGGCUCAUAUAUCCAAAUGUCUACUUCUUGCCUUCAGUAUACCUUACAAACCUCUCAAGUUUGACGUGCCUAGAACUGGACUCUGGAUUUUACCUUUUGCCCGUAUCAACAAGUUCCUCUCUUAGUCUUCCAAUCACAGAAAGGGCUCCACCAUCAAGAUGGACAUGAGCCUAAAACCCAAGAAUUCUUGUUUCCUGCCUUCCUUUCCUUCUCUCACAUUCAGUCUCCUGGUAGACUUGUUCAUUUACUUCCACCAUUUCUAUCUACUUCUUUUCAUCUCCAGUGCCAACAUUCUUGUCCAAGCCAUCACUCUCUCUCCCCAAACCACUCCAAUAGCAUCCUAACUGGUUUUCCCUACCCUUAUCUCACCUCAAUCCAUUCUCUGCAUAUUAGCUGGAGUGAUCCUUUCAAGAAGUGAAUACAAACCUUAAAUCUUUCAACAGCCCUCACUGCAUCCAGAAUAAAAUCCAAGCACCUAUAACUGCCUAAUAUGGCUUCUGUCCACAUCUAACCUCAAAUCUUACCUUCUGCCCUUGCUGUGCUCAAGCCUUUCUGGCCUUUCAUUUCCUUAAACACACCAAGCCUUUCCAGCAUCAGAGACUUUACAAUUCUUCCUGGAAUGCUCUUCCACUAAUUUCUUUAGGUCAUAGUUUGUGGUCAUUUGAAAACAUGUCCACAAAUUCUUUUCUAUCCUAAAAAAAGGGGGAAUCCAAUUCCCCUCCUCUUGAACAUGGACUAGCCUCAGUGGCUUGCUACUAAUGAAUUAAAUGGUAUAGAAGUGACUGUAACUUCUUAGACUAGGUGACCAAAGAUGGCACAGCCUCCACCUGGUUCUCUGUCUUGUGAGGCUCACCCUUGGAACCCAGCCAUCAUGCUGUGACAAAGCCAUGUACCACAUGCAGGUGUUUCGGGGAACAGACCUGUCAGAGGUCCUUGCCAACAGCCAACAUCAGUCAGCAUCAACCACUAGACAUGUAAGUGAGGAAGCCUCCAGAUGAUUCCAGUUCCCACCUUCAGCUGAUGUUAGGUGGAGCAGAGACAUGCUGUCCCCACCUGCCUAAACUGCAGAUUCAUGAGUAAUGUAAUUUCUGUCAUUGUUUUAAGCCAUUAAGUUUUGGGGCAGUUUGUCACACAGCAAUAGACAACUGGAACACAGCUCAUAUGCCCCUUCUCAGAACUGCCCUCCCUGAUCAUCCUAAGUGCCCAUUGGCAUUAUCCAUAACCUGAAAAUUAUUAUGAUUGAUCCUAAAGUCCAGCCUGGUGCCUGGCACGUAGGAGAUGCUCAGUGAAUAUUUGUGGAAUGAUUGAAUAAGGAAAUGAAUCCUCUUGUCACAUUUGAAGUUAUCAGUCAUCAAUAAAAUGGGGAUUUGUUUCAUCGUU
rnacentral:lncRNA from 1 species